rnacentral:rRNA from 1 species
UACGGAGGGGGCUAGCGUUGUUCGGAAUUACUGGGCGUAAAGCGCACGUAGGCGGCUUUGUAAGUUAGAGGUGAAAGCCCGGGGCUCAACUCCGGAAUUGCCUUUAAGACUGCAUCGCUAGAAUUGUGGAGAGGUAAGUGGAAUUCCGAGUGUAGAGGUGAAAUUCGUAGAUAUUCGCAAGAACACCAGUGGCGAAGGCGGCUCACUGGCCCGGAACUGACGCUGAGGUGCGAAAGCGUGGGGAGCAAACAGG